rnacentral:rRNA from 1 species
UAGGGAAUAUUGCGCAAUGGGGGAAACCCUGACGCAGCAAUGCCGCGUGAGUGAGGAAGGCCUUCGGGUUGUAAAGCUCUGUCCUUAGGGAAAAAUGGCCUUAAUGUGAAUAGCAUUAAGGAGUGAUGGUACCUAAGAAGAAAGCACCGGCUAACUUCGUGCCAGCAGCCGCGGUAAUACGAAGGGUGCAAGCGUUGUUCGGAUUUAUUGGGCGUAAAGCGCGCGCAGGCGGAUUUGUAAGUCAGGUGUGAAAUCUCGGGGCUUAACCCCGAAAGUGCGCCUGAAACUGUAAGUCUAGAAUGCCGGAGAGGGAAGGGGAAUUUCUCAUGUAGGGGUAAAAUCCGUAGAUAUGAGAAGGAACACCAGAGGCGAAGGCGCCUUCCUGGACGGUAAUUGACGCUGAGGCGCGAAAGCGUGGGGAGCAAACAGG